GCGGAGCUGGACGGCCGAGAAAACCGGCACGCUGUUGGAAGGGGAGGAGCCCUGGGCGGCGUCCGGUGCGGCUUGGCCAAUUUAAAAAGGCUCACCGCCAGCGAGGGAGGGGGCAGUCUCCUCGCAGAGAGGGAGGAGAGCCCCCGAGCGCAGGAUGGACCCCGAGCAGCACCGAGGCCGGCAGACGGCCCGGCCUCAAUCUACGGGUUCUCAGGACGGGCACCACUGCCGGUGAGUCCCGGCUCAGACGGUGACUGGACUCCACCCCGCUGGCCCUGGAAGGAGCGGCCUGGCAGGGACCGGACUUGGCGGAGAGAACAGACUCCCGGGGCCUCAUCAGAGCGACACUGGACCCCGACUCCAGAACCGAGGCAGGCUUUGAGAACUGGGGCGGCAGAAUGAAGGGGAAGGAGUUCGAGUGACAGAGCUAUGGAUCCACAACAGCUGUUGGACUGGGUGGGAGAAACCUAGCGCCAGCAACAGCAGCAGCAAGCCCAGAUGAUCCAGCAACUAGCUACACAAUUCCAGGACCAGCAUACCUAAUGACAUUCGAACGAGUGGCCACUGCAGCAAGAUGGCCAGAGCGCCAUUGGGCCACCUUGUUGGCUCCCUAUCUAACGGGGCCUGCACAAAUGGCUUACUGAGGCUUGGCGACCCAGGAUGCACUGCAGUAUGGGAAAGUAAAAGAAGCCAUCCUGGACCAGCUGGGAAUAACCAGCGACACCUAUCGGCAGAGAUUUCGUCGCGAGCGGUUUAAACCCGGAGAACGGCCCCGGGCUUUCGCGCAGUGGCUGCACGAAUGGGCAUGGCGCUGGUUGGAGCCUGAGCAACGCUCCGGCACUGAGGCGGUCAUCCUCGAGCAGUACGUGCACCUUCUAGCCCAGGAAGCACAGAAGUGGGUCCGGAGGCACCAGCCCACAACGGUGGCCGAGGCUCUCUCGUUCAUUGAAGCCCAUCUGAACGUGGAAGGAGGUGAGGUGGGUGAACGGUGCGAGUCAAUGCUCGGCCCCCCCGAGGGAUGCACCAUGGGAAUGAGGGGGCGGGCCAGCCCCACCCAAGAGCACCCCUAGGCCUACCUUUGGGGGAGGGCGCCGGUUAGCUCCAGUGUGGCCCAGCAAGCCUGGGGACAGCUACCAGGAGACGAAAAGGGAGGCUGAAGAGAAAGCAGGGGAGGGCCGCAGGAUGGGGAUCCGGAAUGCUUGCUACCAGUGUGGGCAGGAAGGGCAUUUCAAAUGAGACUGUCCUCAAAUGGAUUGCACCAUAAGUCAGGCAACCCAGGGAGGACAUCCGCCAACCCCGCCUGAACAGCCACGACCAACAGUGACCAUGUGGCUCAGACAGAAGCUCAUGAAGGCCCUCAUGGACUCCGGCUCUGCGCUUACCUUAAUCCACGAGGACCUUAUUCCCGACACCCCGGCCACCGGGGAAACCGUCUGGAUGAAGUGCAUACACGGGGAUGUAAGAGCCUACCCCAUCAUGUGGGUACACCUGGCGGACGGCCAGCUGGCAAAGAUAUGGCGAGUGGGGAAAGCACCCGUGCUGCCAUGCCCGAUAGUGCUGGGAAGGGAUUGGCCCGGGUUCUCUAGGCUGCUCCAGGGAGGCGCCGGCGCAUCCGGGGGACAGCGACUGAGGGAGCAGGCACCCGUGACCGAAGGCUAUGUCCACCCACGGACCCCAGAAGAGCCUGACGGGAGAUGAACGACCCCCUUGGUGGGACACCCCAGGGAUGGGCUAGCAGGCGCCCCGGAUUUUCUGGAGGAACAACGGGGAGAUGAGACCUUGAGAUACGCUUGGGAGCAAACAGGAGGCCUGGAGGAGAUCGAAGGGGGCCAUCAGGGACCAUGAUUCCAGAUAAUAGAGGACCGGUUGUAUCGACUGACGGGGGCCGGGGAAGGGGAAGAAGGGUGAAGGCAGCUGGUGGUUCCCCAGGGCCAGCACAGAAAGGUCCUAGACCUGGCCCAUAUGAACCCCUGGUCAGGGCAUUUGGGACAUGAAAAGACGCUGGCCCGAGUCUUGCAGCGUUUUAUUGGCCCGGAGUCUAUAGGGCAGUGCGGGACUUUUGCACCUCCUGCCCCAACUGCCAGAAGCUCUCCUCGGGUAGGGUGCCUUUGGCCCCCCCUUGUACCCCUCCCCAUCGUCAGCGUUCCCUUUGAGAGGAUAGCUCUGGAUUUGGUGGGGCCCCUGGUACCCUCCCGGCUGGGGUAUCGGUUCAUGCUAGUCAUCAUCGACUAUGCCACCAGGUACCCAGAGGCUGUGCCAUUGUGCAAUACUAAGUCCCCGACCCUAGCCUCCGAAUUAAUCAAAAUCUUUGCGAGGGUGGGAUUCCCCAAAGCCAUUUUAACCGACCAGGGCACGAAUGUAACCUCUCAGUUGAUGAAAGAACGGUGUGCCCUGUUGCAGAUAAAAACAUUCCGAACGUCCGUAUACCACCCCCAGCCGGACGGGCUAGUGGAGCGGUUUAACCGCACCUUGAAGGAGAUGCUCAGAUUGGUUGUACAAGAAGGCCCAUGGGACUGGGAUCAGAUGCUACCAGCCCUCUUGUUUGCCAUCCGGGAGGUGCCCCAGGCCUCCCCGGAAUUCUCCCCGUUCGAACUAUUGUAUGGGUGCCAGCCGUGGGGAAUUUUAGAUUUCCAGAAGAGGACUGGGAAACACAGAACACCUGGUGCCAGGGCACGGUGCAGUACAUUCUGCAACGCCGCGAGCGGCUGCAGCGGGUUGGGGCAUAUGCCUCUUAAAGGCUCAGACCAGACAGGCCCAUUACUAUAACCGAAUGGCCAUGGCCCGCCAUUUCGAGCCGGGGGAUCAAGUGCUGCUGCUCUUGCCCACCAAGGAGUCCAAGCUCUUCGCGGAAUGGCAGGGACCUUAUGAGGUGAUCCGCAAGGUAGGAGAUGUAGAUUAUGAGAUCCGCCUCUCGGGAAAAUGGAGGGAUACGCAGAUCUUCCACGUUAACCUCCUUAAGAAGUGGGUGGCAAGGGAAGGGCUCCUGGUGGCACCCGUGAAAUGCGAAGAGGAUUUAGGCCCGUCCCGGGAGGAUUGCGCAGAGGAAGGCUAGUUAUUAUCCCUGGGACCUGAACUCUUGGAAGAACAGCGGCAGCAGAUGGAAGUACUCCUACGGCGGUUCUGCCGCAUCUUGACAGCAGCCCCAGGAACGGCAAAGACGCGUCCGAGUGCGGACUAGGAGAAGUCCUGGACCAGGAGUACAACGGCAAGGAGCAUCCAGUCCUGUACCUUAGCCAGAAGCUCCUACCCCGAGAAAAGAAUUACGCGACUGUCGAGAAAGAGGCAUUGGCCAUGAAAUGGGCCAUAGAGAUGUUGAGGUACAACAACUUGUGGGGAAAUAAAUUUAAGCUGGUUACGGACCACGCACCUUUAGUCUGUCUGAAUUCCAUGAAAAAUUCUAACCCCCGCUUUACGCGGUGGUACAUGUCACUGCAGCAACUAUCAAUUUGAAAUAGAGUACUGAGCGGGGGCAAAGCAUCAGAACACUGACUUUUUUUUUCCCACGGGUGUUCGAGCAAAACGAGGAGG